rnacentral:rRNA from 1 species
AUUUAAUUUGAUUUGAAAAUAUUAUUAAAAAAAAUUAUAAAAAAUAUUUUUUUUGAGAGUAAAUUUAUUGAAAUUAAAGAUUGUAAUGAUAGUUGAUUAGUAUAGUAAUAGAAUUUUUAAAAAAUUUUAUAAGAAAAUUUAAUUUAUUGUACCUUGUGUAUCAGGGCUUAUUAAUUAUAUGUUAUUUAUUUAAUUUUCUCGAUUUAGUAGGAGUUAAUAAUUUAUUUUUUUUAUUGUAAUAUAAAUAUUAUUAAUAAAUUAUUGGUAAUGAAAAGUUAGUCGUUUAUUAAUAUAUCUAGUUUUUUAAGAAUCAAAUUUAAUUUGAUUUUAUUAAAAAUUAUGUUUAUUUUUAAAUAUAAUUUUUUAAUAAAAUUUAUUUUUUUUAGGAUAAUCUAAAAAUAAUAGAUUUAUAAAUUUAUAUUUAUUGAUUAGUUGAUAGGAUUAAUAAUUUUCAUUUAGUAUGUUAUAAUUAACUAUUAUAUUUUAUUAUUUAUAUAGAUUUUAAAUUUUUUAUUAAAAAGAUUAAAUUAAUAAUUAAUUUUGUAUUAUAAUGAUAAAAUUAGUAUAUAAAAUUGUUAUAAUAUUUAUUUUUAAAAUAUUAUGUAAAGGAAUUCGGCAAAUUAUUUUUCGCCUGUUUAAUAAAAACAUGUCUUUUUGAUAAUAAUUUAAAGUCUAAUCUGCCCCCUGAAUUUUUAAAUGGCCGCAGUAUUUUGACUGUGCAAAGGUAGCAUAAUAAUUAGUUUUUUAAUUGAAAGCUGGAAUGAAUGAUUGGACGAGAGAAUAUCUGUCUCUAUAUAAUUAAUAUAGAAUUUUAUUUUUAAGUUAAAAAGCUUAAAUUAGAAUAAAAGACGAGAAGACCCUAUAGAUUUUUAUAUAUAAUAAGUUUUAUUAUUUUAGGGAUUAUUUUUUUUAUAAUUUAUAAUAUAUUUAGUUGGGGUGAUUGAAAAAAUUAAUAAACUUUUUUUUUAUAGUAACAUAAAUUUAUGAGUUUUUGAUUUAUUAGAAUAAUUAUAAGAUUAAAUUACCUUAGGGAUAACAGCGUAAUUUUUUUAAAGAGUUCAAAUCGAAAAGAAAGAUUGCGACCUCGAUGUUGGAUUAAAAUUAUAUUUGGUGUAGAAGCUAAAUUUAUUAAGUCUGUUCGACUUUUAAAAUUUUACAUGAUCUGAGUUUAAAUCGGCGUGAGCCAGGUUGGUUUCUAUCUUUAUAAAAUGAAUAUAAGUUAGUACGAAAGGACCAUUUAUAUAUAAUAGUUAUUUAUUGAGAAUAUUAUU